rnacentral:lncRNA from 1 species
UUCAAGAAAGAACAGACGAUGAGACAAUGCACAUCAACCGGCAAGACAGCAACAACCAACAGGCCAAACAGUCUAGCACACCAGAAAUGCGCUCCACAGGUGCCCUCUUAUUUCACUUAUAUCAGUCGGACGCUCUCAAAAGCGACACGUAACACAGAUUCAGGAGAAACAGCGUUCACCAACACAUGUUCAGUUCAUCGGCAGGUGCUACAACCUUUUUUGGCUUAAUUGAAAUUCUUUUUGUGCUUUCUUCUUCUUCUUCUUCUUGUUUUUUUUUUUAAAAUGCAGCAGCCCGUCGCGCUGUCCAUAUUUCGACCGAUCCGGCGCGAUUCCUUGUUUGCUGUGAACCUGACUUGCUGCAAUGCGAUGUAGGGAGUGUUUGGUUCCUGCCAACGCUUGCCACGCCACAAAAUUCGGCUUUGACGUUUAGCGUGGCAGACUCUGGCUGGAGAGCAAGCAGGCCCGUCAACGUCGCCAGCGACCUCUACGUUUGCCCGUCAAUCUCCGCAGACUGCAGCAACAAGCUUAUCUACUGAGCGAAAGCGAGCACCCCCUCCUGGCUCCCGUUCAUAAGGCACGCCGAGAUCGCCGCCGGCCAUGCUUCGACGACGAUGACAGUGGGAGAAGAUGCCAACGGCGCGGUACGCAGGUAACCAUGCGCACGCCGGCAAACCCGGUGCCACCACUGGCACGGACCAGCUUCAAGAAAGAACAGACGAUGAGACAAUGCACAUCAACCGGCAAGACAGCAACAACCAACAGGCCAAACAGUCUAGCACACCAGAAAUGCGCUCCACAGGUGCCCUCUUAUUUCACUUAUAUCAGUCGGACGCUCUCAAAAGCGACACGUAACACAGAUUCAGGAGAAACAGCGUUCACCAACACAUGUUCAGUUCAUCGGCAGGUGCUACAAGUGCGAACGGCAAACACGCUGAUCAUAGAUGGAUCGGGUGCUCUUAUUUCACAUGUCCAAGGAUGUUCAGACUGGUGUGGUGGUGACAAGGCAGGAGGCGACGCUUUCAGCACUCAAGUCCAGCGACCACUUUCAGCUUCAGCCCUGGAGUCCAAUGAUCCCUGGAAAUGAUAAUACAAUGCAAUGAGAAAUCCAUAUAGUAUAACAAGGAGCAUUUGGUAUUUGUUAUUAUACAGAAAAUGAUGCUUGUUUGGAGGAAGGAAUGGGGCUGGCCAGCUGGGGAAACAGUGAACAUACCACAGGCAAUGCGGCCACCAGCGUUUCCAGUGCUCUUGCUCAGCUCGUGCCCACCUGAACAUACAAACACAAAAACCAACAAUUAUUAAACUCCAUUUAAUGGCACUGGAUAAAACCCACAAACAGAGGCAUCGGUUUGGCAAUCAAAGACAAACAGGCAACACAAUCUGACAAAGUGCACAGACAAGAUGUUUAAAUGAACAAAUGUGCAUAGAUCAGUGACAAGCACCAUACCGCAAGCAAGAUUUCACAAGCAUAAUAUACAAACUUGAAACUCCAGACAAGGUCAAUAGAUCACAGGACAGCCAAAUAGACAACUCAGGUAAGGCACUAUAACCUACUUCCAACUUAUUUGAAGUUCAAAUUCCUUCCUGACAGAGAGAUGCCAAAAGCACUGGGGUUUUCAGGGAAAUCGCAGGACAGUACAAGCAUAGCCAUACCUCAAUUUUUUUUCCUCUGGCGUUUAAUAAUCAGAUAGUUAGGACACUAUUACAUUGUCUUGCUCAUGUCAUCUAUAAAUAGAAAUCUAUACUGAUCUUUCAUAAGUCUAUCUGAACUAAGAACCACUGUGUGCUAAUAGACAGAACCUUAGCUCAAAACAGACUACAACACACAAAAGGCACAAGUGUAAACGAUAAGUAGCAGCAUUACCCUUUCCAAGAUCAUCAGGAUCAGCGUGAACAACAACAGCUCUGCCAAUGAUCGAGUUCGGCCCAGU